GUAGGGUGCAGAUGAUGAUUGGGAAAAAUCCGCCCUCCCCAUCAACGAUGAUUCAAGACCCCGAUCAAUAACACCUCCUCUGCCUUUUGCUCUCNAGGUCUUAGUGAUUUCUUUUUUCAAAACCUCUCACCCCCAUCUACUUCUCCGUGCCCACCAGAAUCUUUUUUCUAACGGUUUUUCUUCCAACCCUCCCCAAAACCAAAUCUUGUCCCCUCUACGCACACAUACUUUUUUUUUUGUCUCCCCAAUCCAGCAUACCCUCUCGCUGCCGCUCACCACCGGUGGACAUCAAAAUGGGUUAGAAAACUUACCUUGAUACUGAAGUCACUCUCUUAUCACCCCAACCUCUCUCGGUGCUUCCUCUCUUGGUAUCCCUUCACCCUCCUGAAGAUUUUUUUUCGAGUAUUCUUGUAACCCCUCCUCUUUUGUUUCUCACGCUUUUCUCUUGCGAAUUGCCGCCUCUGCCAAACUUCAGUCUGUGUUUGUCAAACCGCCACGUUCUCUGCCACCCAAAUUUUCAUUGUACCCUCUCGCGUCUUUUUUUCAUACCAAAACCCUUUUUUUUUGUUUUUUAGCUUUUUCUCUUUACAUUAAAACAAAAUCUUUUUCAUUUUUUUUUAUAUUGCACUAAAAGACAAAACGUCUUUUUUUCUUUUUUUUUUCAUAUUAUAUUAAAACAAAAUAAAAUAUAAAAGGUAAAACAAAAAAAAUAAAAAAUAAAAAUAACAAAAAUUAAGAAAAUUAUAAAGGGAAAGUAGAAAAUAAUGUAUAAAGAGAUGGAAUAAAAUAUAAUAAAGGCAAUAAAAACAAAUAUAUAUAUAUAUAUAUAUAUAUAUAUAUAUAAAAAACGAAAAUGGAUGUUUGGGUGUUGGACGGUGUCGGAAGAGAAACACGACGCUCAUGAUUUCAUAUUCAACAAUGUCAUGGCAAUAGUAAACUUUCAUAGCAUAAACAAGUGAAUAAAGUUACCUCGUGGAAUUCCUUGGUUUAAUCUGGGUGUAACCAGUGACAGAGGACCAGUGACUGUAACCAUGGAAGAAUAAGCUCCUGANNN
rnacentral:lncRNA from 1 species